AUUGAACGCUGGCGGCAUGCCUUACACAUGCAAGUCGAACGGCAGCACGGGAGCAAUCCUGGUGGCGAGUGGCGAACGGGUGAGUAAUGUAUCGGAACGUACCUUUCAGUGGGGGAUAACGUAGCGAAAGUUACGCUAAUACCGCAUAUUCUGUGCGCAGGAAAGCAGGGGAUCGCAAGACCUUGCGCUGAUUGAGCGGCCGAUAUCAGAUUAGCUAGUUGGUGAGGUAAAGGCUCACCAAGGCGACGAUCUGUAGCGGGUCUGAGAGGAUGAUCCGCCACACUGGAACUGAGACACGGUCCAGACUCCUACGGGAGGCAG
rnacentral:rRNA from 1 species